UACGUAGGGUGCGAGCGUUAAUCGGAAUUACUGGGCGUAAAGCGUGCGCAGGCGGUUCGUUGUGUCUGAUGUGAAAGCCCCGGGCUUAACCUGGGAAUGGCAUUGGAAACUGGCGAGCUGGAGUGUGGCAGAGGGGGGUGGAAUUCCGCGUGUAGCAGUGAAAUGCGUAGAGAUGCGGAGGAACACCGAUGGCGAAGGCAGCCCCCUGGGCCUGCACUGACGCUCAUGCACGAAAGCGUGGGGAGCAAACAGG
rnacentral:rRNA from 1 species